rnacentral:rRNA from 1 species
UGCGUAGGUGGUUAUUUAAGUCCGUUGUGAAAGCCCUGGGCUCAACCUGGGAACUGCAGUGGAUACUGGAUGACUAGAAUGUGGUAGAGGGUAGCGGAAUUCCUGGUGUAGCAGUGAAAUGCGUAGAGAUCAGGAGGAACAUCCAUGGCGAAGGCAGCUACCUGGACCAACAUUGACACUGAGGCACGAAAGCGUGGGGAGCAAACA